rnacentral:rRNA from 1 species
AAACUGAGGCUAAUAGUGUAUACCACCACUGGAAUGAGUGGUAUGCCAAACGCUCCGGCGCCGAAGGAUGUGGCUGCGGCCGAUUAGGUAGACGGUGGGGUAACGGCCCACCGUGCCAAUAAUCGGUAUGGGUCAUGAGAGUGAGAACCCAGAGACGGAAAUCUGAGACAAGAUUCCGGGCCCUACGGGGCGCAGCAGGCGCGAAACCUUUACACUGCACGACAGUGCGAUAGGGGGAUCCCAAGUGCACAGGCAUAGCGCCUGUGCUUUUCGGUACCGUAAGGUG